rnacentral:rRNA from 1 species
UACGUAGGGCGCAAGCGUUGUCCGGAAUUAUUGGGCGUAAAGAGCUCGUAGGCGGCUUGUCACGUCGGGUGUGAAAGCCCGGGGCUUAACCCCGGGUCUGCAUUCGAUACGGGGCUAGCUAGAGUGUGGUAGGGGAGAUCGAAUUCCUGGUGUAGCGGUGAAAUGCGCAGAUAUCAGGAGGAACACCGGUGGCGAAGGCGGAUCUCUGGGCCAUUACUGACGCUGAGGAGCGAAAGCGUGGGGAGCGAACAGG